rnacentral:rRNA from 1 species
UACAGAGGGUGCUAGCGUUGUUCGGAAUCAUUGGGCGUAAAGGGCGUGUAGGCGGUUUGCUAAGUCAUGUGUGAAAUCCCUCGGCUUAACCGGGGAACGACGCAUGAAACUGGCAAGCUAGAGUACCAAAGAGGGGGGUGGAAUUCCCGGUGUAGCGGUGAAAUGCGUAGAUAUCUGGAGGAACACCUGUGGCGAAGGCGGCCCCCUGGUUGGAUACUGACGCUGAUACGCGAAAGCGUGGGGAGCAAACAGG